rnacentral:misc_RNA from 1 species
UAUUUUCAAUCUAUUUGUUUCUGUCGAAGGAAUUAAAUGGAAUUGGAUGUGGAGGUCUUUGCUGGUCUUGUUUCUGAUCAGCUCCUCUGAAAUGCAUCAGCAUGAGUGUAUCGCUGCCUUCAGUGUGAUAAUUAUCUACGCUGUGUGGCUUAGCUUUAAUAUGUUUUAUGCUUCUAAUCGUCCAUUAUGUCGGACAAUUCUAUUGAC